rnacentral:lncRNA from 1 species
CUGGUAGUGCCGACAGCCAGGCGUCCUGGCUUCUGCCUCUGGACAAAGCUCCCUUCUCCCCCAUCGCCACCAUCGCCGCCACCGCGGCCGCCGUCGCCACCUCCACGGCCGCCGUCACCGCGGCCCCCGUCACCUCCACGGCCGCCACCGCGACCGUCGCCGCCUCCGCCUUCUCCGCUGCCGCCGUCACCGCCGUCCCCUCCGCCACCACCGCCCUCACCGUCACCGCCGCCGCCAUCGCCACCGCCGCCGCCACCGCCACCGCUGACGCCUCCGUCAUCGCCUCCGCCGUCUCUACCACCGCCGUCUAUACCCCCGCCGAUGACGCCGGUGACUGAAAAUCCCACCGGUACGGAGUUGGGUUCUUCCCUAAAUCGCUACUCUGUGUAUCACGUACAUGCACACUACACACCUACACAUGUACGCACGCACAUACAUACACAAGGAUUCAUAGCCAUUUAUUUCUUGCUCUGAUGCCGCUGUCGGCUGUCCUCCCGCGUUGUGUGCCUAAACCCUAAAGUACAUCCACCGUGUUCCAUGUUCACGGGUUGAUCGGGGCAGUGCGCGCCCUCCGAUGCGCCCUCAGUCUUAAUCGCCUUCCUGCAAACAUUGAACGCAGAGCACCAAGCGCGAUCCUAAGACCUUCAUUUGUCCGAUUCUGGCAUCGACUGUCGUUUUAUAUUUUGUGCAGGUUGUGUGGCAAUUCCGGGAUUCAGCGUGAUCUCAGGCGUCGACCUCGCCGUACCUGCCAGCCAGUUCAAGAACAUUCUGCUCGGGCAGUACAGCCUUCUAGCCGACGCGGCGACUGCCUGCACCGCCAACGCACGUUGCAUGGGUUUCAAUGGCGACGGCUUGACGCUGACGGCCGUCAGCCCCAUGAUCCCCCUCGCAGGCUC